GGCUGUGUGGUCUAGUGGUAUGAUUCUCGCUUAGGGUGCGAGAGGUUCCGAGUUCAAUUCUCGGCACAGCCC
rnacentral:tRNA from 1 species